rnacentral:rRNA from 1 species
CAGGCCUAACACAUGCAAGUCGAGCGGCAGCGAGACUAGUAGCAAUACUAGUUGUCGGCGAGCGGCGGACGGGUGAGGAAUACGUAGGAAUCUGCCCUUAAGUGGGGGAUAGCCAGGGGAAACCCUGACUAAUACCGCAUGAUCUCUUCGGAGCAAAGAGGGGGACCGCAAGGCCUCUCGCUUCUGGAUGAGCCUACGUCUGAUUAGCUAGUUGGUAGGGUAAAGGCCUACCAAGGCGACGAUCAGUAACUGGUCUGAGAGGAUGAUCAGUCACACCGGAACUGAGACACGGUCCGGACUCCUACGGGAGGCAGCAGUGGGGAAUAUUGGACAAUGGGCGCAAGCCUGAUCCAGCAAUGCCGCGUGUGUGAAGAAGGCCUUCGGGUUGUAAAGCACUUUAGCCUGGAAAGAAAAAACUUUGGUUAACACCCAAAGUCUUGACGGUACCAGGAGAAUAAGCACCGGCUAACUCUGUGCCAGCCGCCGCGGUAACAC